rnacentral:ribozyme from 1 species
GCCUGCGUUGGAUGCUUCUGCGCCUUUCGAACCUUGUUUUGAAACCUGGUUGAUGCAGCUGCGCAGUCUUUUAGA